UUAUGAUUUAAGUUCCUACAGCGCGUGUCGUAACCAUCGGCAAGGUCGGUCAGACGUCUUGUCAUUUCACGGUCUGACUGCGCGUUUGAAGUUGUUCAAAUAGCACCGUUCUUUUGAUGUGUAAGAAAAUAUAUCUGCGCGUCCUAAUGCGGUCAAGAAAGAAAAUGUUUGUCGCAUGUAGCCCGAAGAAUGUACCACAUUUCUCGCUCAUGUUUCUUAUGUUUGGCCCAAAGAACGUGCCACGAGUCUAGCUCGUGUUUCUUAUGUUUGGCCAGAAAACGUACCAUGGCUCUAACUCGACGUCGUUGGUUAAGUACAAUUAAAUAAAUAUUCUUAAAUGUUUCAAACAUCUUCAAUAAGAAAUUUAGCUUCAUUAGAAUACAGAACUGUUAGAUACAAAUAAAUAAAACUAAGAUUUUUCUUGCCAUCUA